CCCGACUGCUAUCGGAUGAUACUAAGCCAUGCGAGUCUUGUAGUAAUACAAGGCAGACGGCUCAGUAACACGUAGUCAACCUACCCUAUGGACAAGAAUAAUCUCGGGAAACUGGGCAUAAUUCUUGAUAGAUCAUAAUGCCUGGAAUGGUUUAUGGUUAAAAUGAUUCGUCGCCAUAGGAUGGGACUGCGGCCUAUCAGCUUGUUGGUGAGGUAAUGGCCCACCAAGGCGAUUACAGGUACGGGCUCUGAGAGGAGAAGCCCAGAGAUGGGUACUGAGACACGGACCCAGGCCCUAUGGGGCGCAGCAGGCGAGAAAACUUUGCAAUGUGCGAAAGCACGACAAGGUUAAUCCGAGUGGUUUCUGCUAAAGGAACCUUUUGUUAGUCCUAAAAACACUAACGAAUAAGGGGUGGGCAAGUUCUGGUGUCAGCCGCCGCGGUAAAACCAGCACCUCAAGUGGUCAGGAUGAUUAUUGGGCCUAAAGCAUCCGUAGCCGGCUUUGUUAGUUUUCGGUUAAAUCCAUGUGCUCAACGCAUGGGCUGCCGAAAAUACUGCAUAGCUAGGGAGUGGGAGAGGUAGACGGUACUCAGUAGGAAGGGGUAAAAUCCUUUGAUCUAUUGAUGACCACCUGUGGCGAAGGCGGUCUACCAGAACACGUUCGACGGUGAGGGAUGAAAGCUGGGGGAGCAAACCGGAUUAGAUACCCGGGUAGUCCCAGCUGUAAGCGAUGCAGACUCGAUGAUGCAUUGGCAUAAUAGCCAUUGCAGUGUCGCAGGGAAGCCGUUAAGUCUGCCGCCUGGGAAGUACGUACGCAAGUAUGAAACUUA
rnacentral:rRNA from 1 species